UACGAAGGGUGCAAACGUUGCUCGGAAUCAUUGGGCGUAAAGCGCACGUAGGCGGCCUUGCAAGUCGGAUGUGAAAUCCCACGGCUCAACCGUGGACGUGCAUCCGAAACUGCUCGGCUCGAGUAUGGAAGAGGGUCGCGGAAUUCCCGGUGUAGAGGUGAAAUUCGUAGAUAUCGGGAGGAACACCAGUGGCGAAGGCGGCGAUCUGGGAAGAUACUGACGCUGAGGUGCGAAAGCGUGGGGAGCAAACAGG
rnacentral:rRNA from 1 species